rnacentral:misc_RNA from 1 species
AGUAUCUCAAAAGCCUAUGCCUAUUUUGUGGCGUGGGACUUUUGGACAAUGGGAGUUGCCGGUCACUGAUGAAAGUGGCGGGCUCUUCUGAAAAGUAUUAGUUGAGGAGCUUUGCACUCUAUUGGUGUGAUAGACUAUCUAUGCCAGGAGACGCUUUAUGAUCCUCUGCUGUCUAACUGUCUUUAUUGGACAAACAUGAUGAAC